rnacentral:lncRNA from 1 species
UAUCAAGUGUGUUUUGACAUUUCUGUUUGCCCAAGUUUGUGGUACUUUUUGAAUUUUGACUGUACAUUUUGAUUGUAUGUGUGUUCCAAUUUGACAACAUCAGCUACUAUUUUCCUUCUAGUCUUGUCGCUUUCUUGCACGUUUAUUAAUCCAAGCCUUGGAAGGAGAAAACAGCAGCGUAGUUUUCGAAAAUACAUACACAGAAAUGUACUUGCCACCUGGAAAUAAUUAUCAUUUGUAAAACAGUAUUUUAAAAAUACAACAAAACAUGAAUUCAAUUAUUAACGUGAAUUAUAGAUAUUUCUCUGUAUUCUUAAAAUGUUUGCAUUUUGUUCAUGUUGCAGGAACAACUACAUAUACUUGAGACAAGAGCAGCUUUGUUAGAACAAGGAAAGCAUAUCGAGGUCAAUGCACUAUAUCUAUAUCUAAAAAUCUGAUCUUCAUAGACAGGUAGAGGCAUGGAGGAAGGACCACUGUGGAUCUUGGGUGUGUGAAGUAGACA